GGAAGUGGGGAUGACGUCAAGUCCUCAUGGCCUUAUGACCAGGGCUACACACGUACUACAAUGGCCGGUACAAAGGGCAGCGACACAGCGAUGUGAAGCCAAUCCCGAAAAGCCGGUCUCAGUCCGGAUUGGAGUCUGCAACUCGACUCCAUGAAGUUGGAAUCGCUAGUAAUCGCAGAUCCAGCACGCUGCGGUGAAUACGUUCCCGGGCCUU
rnacentral:rRNA from 1 species